AGGUGACAGCAGCUCAGGAGGUACCGUUCUAGUGAUGCUUCCUCAGGUGUUCCAGAAAACCACAAGCCCGAUGGGCACAUGUAUGGAAUAAUGAAGUUUUGUGAUGCCCUCCACAUAUUUAAAUUUACUGCAAAGUCAUAAAGAACUUGUUGGCCCAUCGGCCUCUGAGAAAGCCCAGAGAUGGCUUUUUAGUUUGGAUAACAUGUAGUGUGGCCACGUUAUGGGAAUUUAAUGAAAUCUCUCCUGACAAGUACAUAAUGUAAUAACACCAUGCAAAUUAAAAAGCCGGCUGACAGCCCAGGACCUGGAAGGAAUGCAGCUGAACCUUAGAGAAAUUGAUCAUUUUCAACAAAAAUAAAAGAGCACAGCAGGCAGUGGGCGGCCACGUCUGCCUGGUGUCCCCUCCUGUGUAGAUAUGGUGAGAAAGUGGCCGUGAGAGUGACUUCUGCUACCACGAAAGGUAACCUGGCAGAAAAGCCACAGUGGCUUCUCUGGGAGAUAGCUUUGCAGAUGGCUGCUGGAGGAGGCCGUGGCUCCGGAAGAAGGAAGUGUGUCCACGGAGCAAAUGGCUUGCCUCAACCCCCAGGAGCAGAGCAGGAAGUUUCAAAAGCUGCAAGCAUUUAAUUCUUUCAAGCUCUGUAUGAGGUAUUAUUAUUAUUAUUAUUCCUCUUUUACAGAUGGGGACACUGAGGCAAAGAAAGUACAGGCACAUGGUCCAGCUUGCACAGCUGAUGCUUUUGAUGAUCAUGCGGAUUGCCAACAGCACUUUUUCUCUCGUCAGGAUGAAACUCCCACUGAACAAAGCACUCUCCAACAUAUCUGUUCUUUCUCGAAGCAGCUCAUGCAAAACACGCAUUAGAGCCGAGAAACCUCUUCCUACAAGACGUGUGGCUUCUCCACAGCUGACUCAGUCAGAUCUUUCCUCACGCCUCAACAGCACCUUUAUCUGGGGAGCACCAGGUCCCUCAGUCCAUGUGCAGGACAUCUGGCUUUUUCUUCCAUGAUACACCCAUCAUACUUCUCGACCUUGAGCGCUCAUCAGCAUCCCCUGGAGGGCUUCUUAAACCACAGAACUGCACCCCACCCUAGACCUUCUGACCCAGUCAGUAUGCCUGGGGUGGCAUCUGAGAAUCUGUGUUUCUAAUGCGUUCCCAGGUGGUGAUGAUGAUGCUGGUCCAGGGACCACAUAACAAGAACCACUGAUGUUCAAAAGCCAGCUUUUAAUGACUUUCUCACACUUCUGAGUGUUCUGGUGAAGCUUUCUAAAUGCCCUGGUUUCCCCAGCUAAAACCAGGAAUAAUCCCACCAACCUAAUCCAAGGGUUAAUGGUUAAUAUAGUGUCACACACAGAGAAGCUUGCAGCUGAUCUUGGGAAAAGUGUGUUCCUAAAAUCUGAAGACAUGUUCAAAUCAGUAUAUAUUACUGUGCCUCUGCCACAAAGGAGGCUCGAGAUGUGAAAUGUGAUGUUUCCCUCCCUUGCCGAGCUGUUCCAAGAGUUAGGAUGGUGUCUGCCAUGUUCAUGAGGAUACCCUGACACUCAUGUUCUGCUCAUGUCCUCAUGUUGCAAUGACAGCACUCAUGGGGACCUUACUGAACUGGCAUCACAAGUGUUCCCCAGCACAUGCCGGGUCCAAAGCUGACAUGCAUACACUUGUUUUUACAAAUAAUCACGCAUACCCAGCAUCACUAAUUUACAUGUUAAGGCAUGGUGAUGUCACGUACUGACAUCUUGGAAGAGCGGCAGUAACAUCUUCAUCAUCUCUUGGAAUCCAUACUUGGUGCUGUUUCCUCCAAACACUUUAUAUAGACGCCAUGUGGGUGCCCUGUCCACCACCUUCUCACUCCUGUGUCAUUCUUCUACAACGAGACCCACCCAGAAGGCCAGGUGCCACCUGUUCUGUGUAUCGCCUUUCUGAUUUUCCACCCUGUGGUUUUCUUAGAUGUUCUCGCUUAUCACAGACCUGGAGCCCCAAACACCCUGCUCCCCACAAGGGCUCCUGGCCGAGAAGGGCACCCUGUCCCCGAGCUGUGUGUCCUGGAGCAGGCUGCAGCCACCUGGAAGGGACACCUUUUACACACCGUGCAAUCAGAAAGCAGAAGCCCUUCCAACCAGCCCCUUCUUCCACUCGGGGGUCACUGGCUACUUCCACAUCCGAGCAGAUGCUCUCUUAGAUUCUCCCUUCCUCUAGUAUUUUGGCUACUGAAUCUGCGCCUCUGCCCCCUGCCUCCAUUUGUUUUCUGUGACCCUGGAAGAAUUCCACAUUUCUUCUGGAAAAAGGAUGGAUUGAUAGGAUUUCCUUCUAGAUUAGCAUGGAAGCUCUACUGCUCUGACUUGAGUGAUAAUGAAUGCCCAAGAAAAAUGACUAAGGAAGCACUUCUAUUUGGUCUUAGUGUCCUGAGGGACAAAGGCAGUGUGGAUCUUGGCUUCAGGCACUGGCAUCCGCCAGUGGAUUUACCCACUACCUCUGACAGGAUUUUCAUUCAGAUAAGAAAUAUUCACAGAAUCCUCUCCUCUGUUUUUGCUUCACGACAAUGUGCCUAAAUAUGACUCUGUGAAGCAUGCUGGAAUACCAGCUCCCAAGCAAGCACAUCCUUUCCUUCUCCUGGGCCACCAGUGAAGCUCUCCCUUCACCUAAGCCUGCAGGCCAACUGCAGUGGGUCCUGCCUGGACCUGGGAGGUAUGAGCAUCCCCAGGCAGCUCAUGAAGUGACAUCAAACUCCUAUCUUGGCUCCACUUGGUGGGGCACAAAUCAUGCACACGCCACAUCCUCCCCAGAAUUCACCUGUCCUCACCACACCCCCUGUCAAACUUUGUCUGGUCCCCAGGCACAUCGUGCCUCUGCUGCUGCCACCUCUUCCUGACUGGCUUCUCCAGUCCUGGGCUCACUUCAUUCGAGAGCAUUCUGUAACCCUGUAGCUGCUGUAGGGCUGUGUAUUAAUCAUGCCCUUUUAUUUUCUAUGUUUUCUGAUGUUUCUGGGAGGAAAGACUGCCCCCCCCCCAGGGUCAGCCAAUUCUUAGGGAUAGCCAACAAUUCACCUGUGAGCACACCUUUCAGAUACAAACCAACCAAUCAGAGCCCACAACCCCCACCACCUCCUCUGUGGCUCUCACACUCCAGCCGCUGUCCACCUGCUCUGAUCGCCCCAGGGCCAGAUGCCAGACAACCAGGGGCAGCCCCUGAGCCCCACAGCCUGCAGAAAUUACUCCAAAUAGCUAACCUGGAGCCUGCCUACCCUUCCUCACCCCUUUCUUCUGGCUGAAACCACAGUGAAGGCUCUUGCCCAUGUUCCCCUCCCUCCUUCUGCCUCCUGACCAGCUGGUGCUUUCCUGUGGGGCCCCUGGGAUGUGGUGUGCCCCCUUCUCUAGGGAACAGAGAGUAACAACCUGUCUUCUUUGUGGAGGUCAUCUCCUGAUCUGCUAGCCUCACCCCACACCUGGCUAAUAAAAAACGUACACUUCCAAUCGGGCUGGCUUUCAAUCAUGGCUGAGCUCUCCAUCCCACUGCCCUCAGGAUCAAACCAUCCCUUUUUGAAGCUCCCCCCAGCUGGUCACCUUGUUUCUGGGCAUGUACUCUCUGAGCUCUGCCCUCAGGAUAGGACUCCAUGCUCCAGUCCCUGGUGGGGCCUCCACACCACAGAGAGCCCUGUCUCUCCACCCCAGGAAACAGCCCGAGCCGCUGCUCUUUGCCCUCAUAGGCCCAGCAGCACCCCUAACUGGGGCUACUCCCAAACACACCUGGAGUCAGGCCUCUCCAGGUGAGCAACCUGCCUGCCCCCGGUGCAGACUCCUGGCCCCACGGCAGUGGCCAUCCUCCUCUCGGUCACCAAGAGACUUUCUCACAGCACCGACCAGAGCACACUCCUCCCUGGCUUAAACCUCGACGUGUUUUCAUGGCUUUUAGAACAAACCCAAUCAUGCUGAAGACAACCCCAUUGUGUGUCUGAGCUUGUCCUUUGUUCUCAGCUCCAGUGGUCUUCUUCCUCUUCCAGUGGAAGCCAGAUUUUGCCCUGCUGUUCCCAUUUGCCUGUUUUCUCACCCAGAACCUUGUGUGACUUCCUCUCUUUGAUCCUUUCCUUAGGUGUCAGCCUGAAUGUCACUCCCUCAGAGACGCCAUCCUGACCACUGUUCCUCUCUACCUACCGCUUGGUUUCAUAGACAUAGUGGUGGUUCUUUGAAGAAUAUUAUUUGCUUGUUUAUGGGUUUAUGGUCUCUGGCCUCCCUCCCACCCCCAUAUAACCCACUGUAAUGUAUGUUUCAAAUGAGAUUUUUGCUCACAUGUCUGGGUCCUCUCUAGAACCCUUAGUGUCUAGGACAGAAUUUGGCAUGAGGUGGUAGUAACUACUUUAAUAAAUGAUUUGAAGCCACUUCUCUUUCAGAUUGCUGUAUUUCCUAGAGUUCCUGAGAUGCAAACUUCUCCAUUUAUAGUUCUGGGCCCUCCUAAUGGAUUCCUGUGGACCCUGUGAAUUUUGGCUGUGAGUUCAUCCUUGGUGAAAAUUUUCUUCUACGUGAGUCUUGAGUAUCUGGCUCCAGUGAUUUUCCAUGGGAGGUUUUAUUCUUGACCCAGAGGGUCCAACGAGCUUCACUGGUUCUUAUUUCUCAAUCUUGGAGAACGGUUGAAAUUUGGAACCCAUAGUCGUGUGUGGUGCAAGACUUCAAGGCUCCACUGUCGUAAGGGUGGAUCAUUUAUGCCCACAGUCCAAGGUGUCAGCCACCUUUGGAGGGGAGUCCCUAUGAUGGGAAAAGACUUUCUAAUCCUGUUAUUAGAACAGCACAGUUUGGAGGCCUGGAUUCAUUCAAGGAGCUCAGUUCGAAGUGCAGAAAGGGCCUGAGAUCUCAGCUCCAGCCCUCAAUGCAGGUAUUAAACCUCAAGCUCUCUGAGCUUCUUUCUGGCUCAUGUGCCAUGCAGGCCGUGUCUGUGUCCACUCCUGCUCGAACAUUCUCCUUGGUCUGGGUCCCAGGAGUUCCCCUUUCUGGCACUGGAACUCAGCACUGUGUACAUAUUUGGUUGGUGCAGGGUCUUAUCCAGCCUUGGGUGUGUGUUUGGAGGGUCCCUGUCAGUUUAGCCAACCCUCUGGACCACAGAAUCCCUUCUAGCCAAUCUCCAUCCUUUGUCUUACUGCUCCCAAGCCAAGACCCUACGUCUUGGUGACGUUGUGUUAUGCAGUUUGGCUUAUGGUCCUUGUUUACACACCUGCUUCUGCAUCUGUUCUUAGAGGUACUGAGAGCACCCUGGGUACCCACCAUAUAUACUUGCUCAUUAAAAGGAAAGCGAGAGGCUUUCAACAUUUUGUCACCAACAGCUGGCCUUGCUGGUUGGUGCUGCAGCUCUUUCCGCUCCCCAGCAGCCCACUUCAUCCUGUCCAACUAUGGAGGCUUCAGGAGUGAGGAACUUCCUACCACAGCAGGUGGGAGGAAGGGUGGCAGGCGAUAAAAAGACCAUGAUUCUUACGGAGACUUUCAAGGCUAUAGACAAAGGUGGAAUAUGUCCCUCACCAGUGAUUUCUUUACCCUGCCCCUGGCUACAUCCUAGUUUCCAUGCAUAUGAAGAAGUGAUACAAUCGCAGUCAUAAAGUAGCUAAUAUUUAUGAGCACUUGUAGGUCAAACAUGUGCCAAGCCCCUUAGAGAAUAAUAUGAAUAAAAAAUAAUUACAGUAAAACCUUGGAUGGCAAGUAACUUCUUCUGUGAGCGUUCUGCAGGACGAGCAAACAUUUCUAAUAAACUUUAACUUGACAAAUGAGCGAUGUCUUGCAAUACGAGUAGUAUGUGACAUGGAACAUCACAUGAUCACAACUGAGCCAAUGGUUCUUGAAAUUCACUUUGAGAUAUGAGUGCUUUGGAUCACAAGCAUGUUUCUGGAACAAAUUAUGCUCGCAAACCAAGGUUUUACUGUACUGUGAUGAUCACAGCAGGUAACGUAUUUGGGUAGAGCUGGUCUACCCCAGAGGGCAGCACCAGAGCUGUAACCACAUGGCGUCAGUGCCUCGGCACAUUCAUCCGUCUAUCUGUUCGUGUGUACACACGUCUCACUUAUUAAAUUACCCUGGGUGCCCUUU